rnacentral:rRNA from 1 species
GAUGAACGCUAGCUACAGGCUUAACACAUGCAAGUCGAGGGGAAACGAUAUUGGAAGCUUGCUUCUGAUAGGCGUCGACCGGCGCACGGGUGAGUAACGCGUAUCCAACCUGCCCAUCACUUGGGGAUAACCUUGCGAAAGUAAGACUAAUACCCAAUGACGUCUCUAGAAGACAUCUGAAAGAGAUUAAAGAUUUAUCGGUGAUGGAUGGGGAUGCGUCUGAUUAGCUUGUUGGCGGGGUAACGGCCCACCAAGGCGACGAUCAGUAGGGGUUCUGAGAGGAAGGUCCCCCACAUUGGAACUGAGACACGGUCCAAACUCCUACGGGAGGCAGCAGUGAGGAAUAUUGGUCAAUGGACGAGAGUCUGAACCAGCCAAGUAGCGUGCAGGAUGACGGCCCUAUGGGUUGUAAACUGCUUUUAUAAGGGAAUAAAGUGAGUCUCGUGAGACUUUUUGCAUGUACCUUAUGAAUAAGGACCGGCUAAUUCCGUGCCAG